rnacentral:tRNA from 2 species
GCUGGCGUAGCUCAGUUGGUAGAGCGGCUGAUUUGUAAUCAGUAGGCCGCGGGUUCGAUUCCUGCCGCCAGCA